ACAGCCCCAUGAGCAGCGGAGUCAGAUGCACUGCUUCUGUUUUAGGAGGAAACUGAGGCCCAGAGAGGUUAAGGACCAGCCCCGCAGCACAGAGCUGGAAAGUAGCCAUGCACAGCUGCACACAUUGGCACACACCAGUCUCUGCAUGGUGACUGGUCAGGACAGAGAUGGAGACGGAGCUUUCAGAUUGUUUUGAGGAUAAAGCCUCAGUUAAAUCCUGGCCUGUCACUGACACCUUUCCACACCUGCUCUCUCCAGUGAAGAACAGAUCUCAGGCUCAGAUCUUUGGGCAGCAGCAGCUAGCGAAGCUCUUUACCAAGAACAUCAGCCAUGACGUAUGCUGGGAGCACUGUGCUGUACACCAGGCCAGGCCUAAACUUCCAUUCCAGAUGAAGCAGGCUCUGUAGGAGAAUAGGUGACAAGAGGGCAUAGCCUGGCCAAGAGAGAGCUAUCUUCCUCCCGGUCCAUUCAUUAGAAAACCAGCAGACCUUAGCUACUCUCCCGGCUCUGGUUACAGACCAACCCCUUAUAUCUCCUCCUGCACUUCCCUCAUCUUUACCACUAUAAAUAAAUGUGCCGCGGUUUCCUGGUGGUCUUUUUCUCUCAUCAGGAGUAAAAGCUCCACCUGACCCCACCUUUUGUCCAUUUUUUUUCUUAAUCUCCCACUGUCAUUUCUUACUCUGUGGACCCUUCAGCCAUGUGAGCUGUGGAACAUGUGGCCCUCCCCACCCUGCAAACAGCCCUGAUCUGAGCUCUGUCCCCCUCCAUAGCCACUUAAUAACUACUUGUUAAAGGAACAGAUGAAUGAAUGAACGCAUAGAAGGGCCUUUCCAGAAGAGUCCCCGGAGAGUAUUUCCUUUAUCUUAAUAAGAGCAGCCAAUCUGAUGAGCUUCCUUAGUGCCUCAAUCGUGCCAAGAGCAUCACAUACACCUGCUCAUUUAGGACUUCAAAGCCUGGCAGGGUGGGUACUGGUUUCCCCAGCGUCAGACCCCAGAGAAGACAAGUACUUGCCAAAGUCACACUAGGAGUCCAGCAGCAGAAGAUCCAACCCCAAUUUCCAGGUUGGUCUGUGCUUUCGACCCCCACCCCUAACGCCCAUCGUUGGGGUGCACCUUGUCCAAAGAGCAGCGGUGGGGUGCUUGAGAGACUUCUCACUGUCUU